rnacentral:rRNA from 1 species
CCCGGAAGUGGGGAAUAACUUCGCGAAAGUGAAGCUAAUACCGCAUGUGGCCGAUUCCGGCUCGCCGGAGUCGAGCAAAGCCUUCGGGCGCUUUCGGAGGGGCCUGCGGCCGAUUAGCUAGUUGGUGGGGUAAUGGCCUACCAAGGUGACGAUCGGUAGCUGGUCUGAGAGGAUGGCCAGCCACACGGGGACUGAGACACGGCCCCGACUCCUACGGGAGGCAGCAGCGAGGAAUCUUGCGCAAUGGGCGAAAGCCUGACGCAGCAACGCCGCGUGGGCGAUGAAGGCCCUCGGGUCGUAAAGCCCUUUUGCGGGGGAAGAAGCUCUGACGGUACCCCGCGAAUAAGCCACGGCUAACUACGUGCCAGCAGCCGCGGUAAUACGUAGGUGGCGAGCGUUGUCCGGAUUUACUGGGCGUAAAGUGCGCGUAGGCGGCUUGUCAAGUCCGGGGUGAAAUCUCCCGGCUCAACCGGGAGGAGUCCUCGGAUACUGGCAGGCUAAGAGGGGAGCAGAGGAGAGUGGAAUUCCAGGUGUAGUGGUGGAAUGCGUAGAUAUCUGGAGGAACACCAGUGGCGAAGGCGGCUCUCUGGGCUCUGCCUGACGCUGAGGCGCGAAAGCGUGGGGAGCGAACCGGAUUAGAUACCCGGGUAGUCCACGCCGUAAACGAUGGACACUAGGUGUAGGGGGUAUCGACCCCUUCUGUGCCGAAGCUAACGCUCUAAGU